AGAGUAGUGAUGCUGGCAAUUCAGAUCUGCCAAAGAGAAGCCAUCAAGUUCUUAUUUUAACUGAAAAGGGGAAAGUUCUCUACUUAAGAAAGAAAAAAAAUAUGCUGCGUUUGCCAAGAUCUACAUCGCUGCUGUUUCACCAAUUAAUGAAGCAAAUAAGUUAUUAUCUGACUGACUACAGGCAGAGAAUCUCGGCAGUUAUUGACCACUGUGCCCUACGAGAUGACAACGGCCUCUGUGUUAUUAGAGAAAAUUAGAGGCAAUUGUCUCAAUCAAGAUUGAACUUGGUCUCAAGUGUCCUGAAUCCAGUGAUUAUCUAAUCUGUGAUACAAAGACUAACUACCUUGCCUCCAUUUUGAGAAACCCGGAAGUGCUGCUAUUUUAGUUCCAGAGCUUCUCACAGGAAGGCUUAAGAUCUAAGAAGUUGAGCCACCUCAGCCUGGUUCAGAAGCCUUGCUGGAAAGAUGAUUGCUGGAGAGGUGAUGCAAUCAUUUGGAAAAUAGAAG